GGAACACGGUGCAAAUCCGUGGCGGUCCCGCCGCUGUAAUCGGGGAUGCUGUUCGGCACAGGGAAUUUCCCGGUCACUUUCAGAGCCUGCCUCUGGAGGGAAGACCGCUGACCAGCAGACGAUCCGAAAGCCAGAAGAC
rnacentral:ncRNA from 2 species